AUAUCAGUAAGCGGAGGAAAAGAAACUAACGAGGGUUCCCUCAGUAACGGCGAGUGAACGGGGAAGAGCCCAGCGCUAAAUCCUGUUGCUCUAACGGGUAACGGGAGGUGUAGCGUAUAGUAGGCGAAUUUCCUUGAUGGCUGUCGACUUAAAUUCUCCUUGACUGGGGUUCCAGAGAAGGUGAAAGGCCUGUUCAGUCGAUGGCCGUCUUGGAUUCCGUUCUACUUGGAGUCGGGUUGUUUGGGAGCGCAGCCCAAAUUGGGUGGUAAACUUCAUCUAAGGCUAAAUACGGCCACGAAACCGAUAGCAAACAAGUACCGUGAGGGAAAGUUGAAAAGUACUUUGAAGAGAGAGUUCAAGAGGACGUGAAACCGGUAGGAUGGAAACGGAUAGAGCCAACGAACAAGCCCGUAUUCAGCUAGUCGGCUGCGUGCGGCAUGCCUGUGUGCUCGUUCAGGGUGCAUGGGUGUGUGCGGUAUGCGGUCGGCUAGUGCAUUUGCGGGUGAUGUGCGCUGAGGCGUGUGGCGGAGUCCUGCAAACUGUCUGGAGAGGCCUCGCCUUCGGGCUUGAAACCUACGGACGGGGAGUCGGGUUUCUGCUG
rnacentral:rRNA from 1 species